rnacentral:rRNA from 1 species
GACGAACGCUGGCGGCGUGCUUAACACAUGCAAGUCGAACGGAAAGGCCCUGCUUUUGUGGGGUGCUCGAGUGGCGAACGGGUGAGUAACACGUGAGUAACCUGCCCUUGACUUUGGGAUAACUUCAGGAAACUGGGGCUAAUACCGGAUAGGAGCUCCUGCUGCAUGGUGGGGGUUGGAAAGUUUCGGCGGUUGGGGAUGGACUCGCGGCUUAUCAGCUUGUUGGUGGGGUAGUGGUUUACCAAGGCUUUGACGGGUAGCCGGCCUGAGAGGGUGACCGGGGACAUUGGGACUGAGAGACGGACCAGAAGCGUACGGGACGCAGCAGUGGGGAAUAUUGCACAAUGGGCGGAAGCCUGAUGCAGCAGCGCCGCGUGCGGGAUGACGGCCUUCGGGUUGUAAACCACUUUCGCCUGUGACGAAGCGUGAGUGACGGUAAUGGGUAAAGAAGCAACGGCUAACUACGUG